rnacentral:misc_RNA from 1 species
AACGCACAUUGCGCCCGCUAGUAUUCUGGCGGGCAUGCCUGUUCGAGCGUCAUUUCAACCAUCAAGCCCCAGGCUUGUGUUGGGGCCCUGCGGCCAUCCGCAGCCCCCUAAAAGCAGUGGCGGGCUCGCUGUCACACCGAGCGCAGUAGUAUAUCUUCGCUGGGACGUGGUAGCGGGUUCCGGCCGUGAAAUACCCCAAUUUAUCAAGGUUGACCUCGGAUCAGGUAGGAAUACCCGCUGAACUUAA